rnacentral:rRNA from 1 species
UACGAAGGGGGCUAGCGUUGUUCGGAUUUACUGGGCGUAAAGCGCACGUAGGCGGAUCGUUAAGUCGGGGGUGAAAUCCUGGAGCUCAACUCCAGAACUGCCUUCGAUACUGGCGAUCUUGAGUCCGGAAGAGGUGAGUGGAACUCCUAGUGUAGAGGUGGAAUUCGUAGAUAUUAGGAAGAACACCAGUGGCGAAGGCGACUCACUGGCCCGAUACUGACGCUGAGGCGCGAAAGCGUGGGGAGCAAACAGG